rnacentral:rRNA from 1 species
UACGAAGGGGGGCUAGCGUUGCUCGGAAUCACUGGGCGUAAAGGGUGCGUAGGCGGGUUUUUAAGUCAGAGGUGAAAUCCUGGAGCUCAACUCCAGAACUGCCUUUGAUACUGGAAGUCUUGAGUAUGGGAGAGGUGAGUGGAACUGCGAGUGUAGAGGUGAAAUUCGUAGAUAUUCGCAAGAACACCAGUGGCGAAGGCGGCUCACUGGCCCAUUACUGACGCUGAGGCACGAAAGCGUGGGGAGCAAACAGG